rnacentral:rRNA from 1 species
CAGCCACACCGCCGCAUGCAGAAGGCCUUCAUGUUGUAAGACUCAUUCAGGCGUGAGGGUAGUUAAGUUCUUAAUCCAUGGUUGAUAAGGCCUGUGCAACAGAAGAAACCCCGGGUUAAUUCCUGCCCGCCGCCGCGGUUAUUCGGAGGGGGGUAGGGUUUAUUGGAAAUUAUUGGGGUUAAGGGCACGCAGGCGGUAUUUUUCAGUCGAUGUGAAAGCCCCGGGGUUCACCCCGGAGGGUCCUUUUGAUACGGCUGAUUUGGAUUUUGGAGGGGGGAAUGGGAUUUCCAAUUUUGGAGUGGAAAGUGUUGAAUUUUGGAGGAACCUCCAUGGGGAAGGCAACUCCAUGGCCAAAAUAUGACCGUCAUGGUAGAAAAUGUGGGUAGCCAACCAGAUUAGAUACCCCUGGUAUCCACCACCGAAAACGAUUAUACCAGUUGUCGGGCAUUAUAUUCUUGAGUGGCGCACCUAACGCGAUAAGCGUUCCGCCCUUGGAUUAGC